UACAGAGACCUCGAGCGUUAUCCGGAUUCAUUGGGCGUAAAGCGUCCGCAGGUGGUUUGGUAAGUCAAUGGUCAAAUCUUCCGGCUUAACCGGGAAACUGCUGUUGAUACUGCCAGACUUGAGGCUGGGAGAGGUAAGCGGAACUGCUGGUGUAGUAGUAAAAUGCGUUGAUAUCAGCAGGAACACCAAAGGCGAAGGCAGCUUACUGGAACAGUCCUGACACUCAUGGACGAAAGCGUGGGUAGCGAAUCGG
rnacentral:misc_RNA from 1 species